UAGGGAAUCUUCCACAAUGGGCGAAAGCCUGGUGGAGCAACGCCGCGUGUGUGAUGAAGGGUUUCGGCUACGUAAAACACUGUUGUAAGAGAAGAAUGACAUUGAGAGUAACUGUUCAAUGUGUGACGGUAUCUUACCAGAAAGGAACGGCUAAAUACCGGGCCAA
rnacentral:rRNA from 1 species